AUUGAACGCUGGCGGCAGGCCUAACACAUGCAAGUCGAACGGUAACAGGAAGCAGCUUGCUGCUUUGCUGACGAGUGGCGGACGGGUGAGUAAUGUCUGGGAAACUGCCUGAUGGAGGGGGAUAACUACUGGAAACGGUAGCUAAUACCGCAUAACGUCGCAAGACCAAAGAGGGGGACCUUCGGGCCUCUUGCCAUCGGAUGUGCCCAGAUGGGAUCAGCUAGUAGGUGGGGUAACGGCUCACCUAGGCGACGAUCCCUAGCUGGUCUGAGAGGAUGACCAGCCACACUGGAACUGAGACACGGUCCAGACUCCUACGGGAGGCAGCAGUGGGGAAUAUUGCACAAUGGGCGCAAGCCUGAUGCAGCCAUGCCGCGUGUAUGAAGAAGGCCUUCGGGUUGUAAAGUACUUUCAGCGGGGAGGAAGGGAGUAAAGUUAAUACCUUUGCUCAUUGACGUUACCCGCAGAAGAAGCACCGGCUAACUCCGUG
rnacentral:rRNA from 1 species